rnacentral:rRNA from 1 species
AUUGAACGCUGGCGGCAGGCCUAACACAUGCAAGUCGAGCGGUAGCACAGAGAGCUUGCUCUCGGGUGACGAGCGGCGGACGGGUGAGUAAUGUCUGGGAAACUGCCUGAUGGAGGGGGAUAACUACUGGAAACGGUAGCUAAUACCGCAUAACGUCGCAAGACCAAAGUGGGGGACCUUCGGGCCUCAUGCCAUCAGAUGUGCCCAGAUGGGAUUAGCUAGUAGGUGGGGUAACGGCUCACCUAGGCGACGAUCCCUAGCUGGUCUGAGAGGAUGACCAGCCACACUGGAACUGAGACACGGUCCAGACUCCUACGGGAGGCAGCAGUGGGGAAUAUUGCACAAUGGGCGCAAGCCUGAUGCAGCCAUGCCGCGUGUGUGAAGAAGGCCUUCGGGUUGUAAAGCACUUUCAGCGGGGAGGAAGGCGUUAAGGUUAAUAACCUUGGCGAUUGACGUUACCCGCAGAAGAAGCACCGGCUAACUCCGUGCCAGCAGCCGCGGUAAUACGGAGGGUGCAAGCGUUAAUCGGAAUUACUGGGCGUAAAGCGCACGCAGGCGGUCUGUCAAGUCGGAUGUGAAAUCCCCGGGCUCAACCUGGGAACUGCAUUCGAAACUGGCAGGCUAGAGUCUUGUAGAGGGGGGUAGAAUUCCAGGUGUAGCGGUGAAAUGCGUAGAGAUCUGGAGGAAUACCGGUGGCGAAGGCGGCCCCCUGGACAAAGACUGACGCUCAGGUGCGAAAGCGUGGGGAGCAAACAGGAUUAGAUACCCUGGUAGUCCACGCCGUAAACGAUGUCGAUUUGGAGGUUGUGCCCUUGAGGCGUGGCUUCCGGAGCUAACGCGUUAAAUCGACCGCCUGGGGAGUACGGCCGCAAGGUUAAAACUCAAAUGAAUUGACGGGGGCCCGCACAAGCGGUGGAGCAUGUGGUUUAAUUCGAUGCAACGCGAAGAACCUUACCUGGUCUUGACAUCCACAGAACUUUCCAGAGAUGGAUUGGUGCCUUCGGGAACUGUGAGACAGGUGCUGCAUGGCUGUCGUCAGCUCGUGUUGUGAGAUGUUGGGUUAAGUCCCGCAACGAGCGCAACCCUUAUCCUUUGUUGCCAGCGGUUAGGCCGGGAACUCAAAGGAGACUGCCAGUGAUAAACUGGAGGAAGGUGGGGAUGACGUCAAGUCAUCAUGGCCCUUACGACCAGGGCUACACACGUGCUACAAUGGCAUAUACAAAGAGAAGCGACCUCGCGAGAGCAAGCGGACCUCAUAAAGUAUGUCGUAGUCCGGAUUGGAGUCUGCAACUCGACUCCAUGAAGUCGGAAUCGCUAGUAAUCGUAGAUCAGAAUGCUACGGUGAAUACGUUCCCGGGCCU